CACUCCGUCACACGUCACGUCACGUCACGUGGACUCGUCCACGAGAGGUAUGGUCGGCAUACCGGAAUUUUUACGAAUCCCCGUUUUAGUCGGAAAUCCUAUUCUUUCACGGCCGAGAUAAAUCGGAGGAUCGCGACCACGAGUGACGAGCGAUCGAAAAUUUGUUCGAGUAUCGCAUAUGACGUUCUCAUUUGUCAUAUUAUUCGCAGGGAUCGACGUACCUGCCGAUCCGCAAGGCACACCCCUGGAUUCAGCGCGGAUGGACUCGUCCACCCGGCUUCCCCUACCGUGCAGAUUCACAGCUCUUGCCAUAUAUGGGCAUAAAACGAGAGCGACGCGGUGAUUGGUCCGCCAACCGGCUAGCGGCUAGAUUCUCCAAAUGCCGCUUCAAAUCGUACGAUAGAGAGAGCAUAAUGUCUCUUGGAAGUAUACACUAGGCGUAAGGGUUUGUUCGCGGGCUACCUGCCUGCGUGAUUUCGCGACAUCGUACAUUAUCGACGAUGACGUAGGAUUUCCAACAUUUUAUAUGGCGUACUUUAAUUCUUAAAGAUAUUCGAGAUUUAUACAGAGUCGAACAGGAGCGAUCGCUAAAGCUAUUCGAUAAUUUCUCGACGAAUGGUUAUCUCUCUCGGAGAUACGCGAAAAAGUGGAUUGGUACGGUUUAGAUAGCGUCGAAGGAGGCCAUCACAGGAGGAUCGACCCAGAAGAAAACCUGCUUUCAUCGUGACACCUGUCUUCCUCGUUACAUAUACAGAUUAAUAUAACGCUAAACAAUAGACGAAACGAGAGACUCAUUUCGUUUCCCGCAUUGCAAAUCGUCGAGGAGAAAUUGGCCGCGCUAACAAAGUCACUGACUUGAUGGCUUGGUUUAAUUGACCCGAGGCGACGGCGAGGUGUUUUCACGGCUGCAGAAAUCAAGGCCACUGCACGCACACGUCUCACGAAGUUGAACGUGUAGCGCGUCGCGUGAACGCGAGCAUUUCUAUCUUCUCUGCGAGCCGUUCUGAGAAUAAAUCACAAACAAGGGGCCUUUCGGAGUCAAAUCAAUUCCCGCGCCGUCAAAGAACCAAGUUUUAACUAUAUCAUUGUUUCAUCUGUAUCAUUUUUAGACAUAUACAAUAUAAUAUGUAAGGAUUCUCGUAGUAUCUAUCUCUAUCGCGGUCUAACGAUAAUAAAGUAUCAAGAAAGGCGACAUCUCCGGUUGAUUUCAAGUCCGGGAUAUAAUACAGAGUUUCCCCUUCCUGUGGCAGGAUGCCAUGCCAAGGCAAUAUCCUCCGGAUGUUGCCUCAUCAAAACAUUUUCGCGCAACGCGAUUGGAGCGCAAUUGGAGCGAUUAGCUUGCUUAACGAGAGGAUCGGUGUGUUCACCUUUACAUAUCGAGCGCAACAUGCAUAACGACAUCAAAUACAUAUUCCGUCGAUACGAUCACGCUGUCAAUUGCUGUCGUAGAGAAAGAUGGUAUAUAUAUAUAACAUACAUAUAUGUAUCACACACUCUUACAUAUAAUUUAACUUGAAACAUAUGCAUGUAACUGUGGCGUAUAGUUGCGAUACUUUUUUAAUAGUUUUCCUUCGUCGCGUGCACGAAGAAAUUACAUGCUCGACGCUAUUCAACACUAAUACUCUAUAUCUAGCCAAAUAAAGAGCCCGUUUCAAUAUCUCUCCAUAUAUGCGAUUAUGUAUGUCAGGGUUUCCGUAUGAAUUGCUUUUUUGGACAAAAUUGUUACGCUAUAUAGGAAUACUAUAAAAUGACGAAUCGUAAGAUAAAUAUAUGUAUUUAUCGAGGCACCACAUCGCGCUGAUUAAAAUCAUUUAUUCCGAGAGAUGGAUACAUGAGAAAAAUAUGCCGAUUUGUAAAGCGCAGCUUACAUUUAAAUUCGAUAAAAAGUGCGAAUCUAUUUUCUAUUCCAAGUUCUUAUACGAGAAUAUUCGUCAUUAGCGUGAUUAAAUAUGAGAUCGCGACUAAUAUAUUUUAUAAUAAAUGGAAACAAAUUUGAGACGACGCAUUGUAUUAUUCACAAACAUUA